rnacentral:rRNA from 1 species
CGAAAGCCUGACGGAGCAACGCCGCGUGAGGGAUGGAGGCCUUUGGGCUGUAAACCUCUUUUCUCAAGGAAGAAGAUCUGACGGUACUUGAGGAAUAAGCCACGGCUAAUUCCGUGCCAGCAGCCGCGGUAAUACGGGAGUGGCAAGCGUUAUCCGGAAUUAUUGGGCGUAAAGCGUCCGCAGGCGGCCGUUUAAGUCUGUUGUUAAAUCGUGGAGCUCAACUCCAUCACGGCAAUGGAAACUGUUCGGCUUGAGUAUGGUAGGGGCAGAGGGAAUUUCCGGUGUAGCGGUGAAAUGCGUAGAUAUCGGGAAGAACACCAGUGGCGAAAGCGCUCUGCUGGGCCAUUACUGACGCUCAUGGACGAAAGCCAGGGGAGCGAAAGGGAUUAGAUACCCCUGUAGUCCUGGCCGUAAACGAUGAACACUAGAUGUUGGGGGAAUCGACCCCCUCGGUGUCGUAGCUAACGCGUUAAGUGUUCCGCCUGGGGAGUACGCACGCAAGUGUGAAACUCAAAGGAAUUGACGGGGGCCCGCACAAGCGGUGGAGUAUGUGGUUUAAUUCGAUGCAACGCGAAGAACCUUACCAAGGCUUGACAUCCUGCGAAUCUCUAAGAAAUUAGAGAGUGCCUUCGGGAACGCAGUGACAGGUGGUGCAUGGCUGUCGUCAGCUCGUGUCGUGAGAUGUUGGGUUAAGUCCCGCAACGAGCGCAACCCACGUUUUUAGUUGCCAGCAUUCAGUUGGGCACUCUAGAAAGACUGCCGGUGACAAACCGGAGGAAGGUGUGGACGACGUCAAGUCAUCAUGCCCCUUACGCCUUGGGCUACACACGUACUACAAUGCUGCGGACAAAGAGUAGCGAUCUUGCGAAAGUUUGCUAAUCUCAUAAACCGUGGCUCAGUUCAGAUCGUAGGCUGCAACUCGCCUACGUGAAGGAGGAAUCGCUAGUAAUCGCAGGUCAGCAUACUGCGGUGAAUACGUUCCCGGGCCUUGUACACACCGCCCGUCACACCAUGGAAGUUGGCCAUGCCCGAAGUCGUUACUCUAACCUUUUGGAAGAGGGCGCCGAAGGCAGGGCUAAUGACUGGGGUGAAGUCGUAACAAGGUAGCCGUAGCGGAAGCUGCGGCUGGAUCACCUCCUAA